GCACCCAUAACUCAGUUGGUAGAGUGUUGUACUUAUGCGGGAAACUAAAUGCAAUUUGUCGCGGGUUCGAGUCCCGUUGGGUGCA